ensembl:lncRNA
AGCCCUUUCCUAUUCUUUCAAACUUACUUUUAUCCAGAAGUGUAAAACUGAUGAGCAGUGGAGCUAUCUUUUCUUUUUCUUUUUACCUUUUUAGACAAAUUUUGAAAGGAACACUGAUAGAAUUUAGAUACUCCAAAGGUGAUCUCUGUGCAAUAUCUUCUGUAGUCUGGGGAAAAGUAUGUGCAAUAAUUGUGAUAAAUCCUUGAAAGGAUACAAUUUUAAUUUCUGUUAAAAGGAAAAAACAAGCAAGCAGGUAUCUUUUGUUGAGAGAUGCUGUGACAGUCUCCUUGCACAAGCUGAGCACUUACUGCAAUACAUGGAAAAGUUUGAGUGCAAGCUCAAGUUGUCUGUAUGCUGGAUUGUUUUGGUGCUUCUUGACCAAAACUGGAUCCUAGAUCUUGCUUUAUCACUGUGUUAUUAGACACCUUAAUUUGUCUAAAGUAAGACAAAAUUCUUCCCAGUAGUAUCUACUGAUUAAAACGAGCUUCUGAUCUAAGCCUAUCUGUAAUUAAAAGUGAGUAUGUAUGAAUGUGAAAGAUGCAGUGUUUUGGAGGUAUCUUGAGAGCAUUGGAAACUACGGUAAAGCUGAGCUCAGUGGAAAUAAUCAGCUGUGGCUGAUGGGAUGAGGCAAAAAGCAUCAGAGGAGUGAUGAGCUGUGGACCAGCCUAUGGCACAGCAUCUGGCUAUAAAGCACUUCAGUGAGACGUGCUAAGGGAGGAGGGAACCACCACAGAACUUAAGUGUCAUUGGAAAUAUUAGAAAACUUUUGCUUAAUCUUUCUUUCUGAUGUUGUAUUCUAAGUAGAAGCAAUGGAAUAUUUCCUCCUCUUAAAUUGUUAGAAUUGGAAGGCAACUUGGAAUCUGUGUCAAUAGUUUAACUAUACUGAAUGAAUCAAAUCUGUUUGCAAACUCAAGGAAGAGGUACACCAUGUAAUCCUUGCACAAGGUACAUAUGUACUGUAUACACAUUUGCAUAAAUAAGUGCUCAUAAAUAGAAAGGGAGGGGGUGGGGACAGAAAUCAAAUCCAAGAGAGAGAUGAAGAAGAGUUGGCAUUUUCAGCAUGUUGUCAGCAUAAAAUGAUGUUUCAAAUGUAGCAAUGUCUAUUUUGGUGAAUUAUCAACUAUUUUUGACUUUGACCAGAUAUGACUUUCUAAUAGAUAAGAAGAGCAGACAUUUGUAGAUGUUUGUCUUAAACUGUAACUGUUAAAUUAGAAACAUACACCCACUAAGAUUGUUAAUUGAACCUUUUAGCUAUCAUCGGAUACUUGAUCAACAAUGUUUGAGAUUGUAGAUUUUGACUGACUGUAGAUGAGUAUCUGUUGGUCUAGUGAUGGUACAGAACUUCCUACAGGGAUUCUGCCUCUUUAACUGGCUGUGCUGCUAACCAUCAUGUGUUCUUGGUUUUUAUCUUCCUUUGUUUUUGUUUAUUUGCAGUUAUACUUUCUUUGCUACUUAACUGUCCAUAUUCACAGAUGGCUGUAUUCACCCUUAGUAGGUACUUGGCUAAUCUAUAUGAAUUUAUCUCCUUUAUAAACUAUCCCUUUUGGACCCUCCCAUAUUGCACAUAAUCAGAUGCAAAUUGCACAUGCUCAAACCUUAAUCAACAAACCUAGAAGAACAGCUCACCUUACUAAACUACGAUGACUUAAGCCAAUAUGAAAUGGAAACUUGAGGUUUUCUAGAGGAAAAUCCAUUCCUGUGCACAUGAGCAGUUUCAGAGGUUACUGCUGCCUGCUUGGCUGUAUUUGUUCUGCCCAAAAUCUGACCGCUGAUGUGAAUGUGGUACAUGUAGGUGGGCUGCUUGCAGUGCCCUGUGCAUCCGUGUGUGAGACUGACUUUUGCUUGGAAAUAUCCACUGGAGGAGAAGAUAGCUAAUGAUUUGUGCUUGCUUGCUUAGUGACUAUCAAGCUUUCCUCUUGAGAUUAUCCCUGCUUAGAGUAUUUGAGCUUGAUUUGAUUUAAUACCAGGUUUGCUAUGCUGUAAGUCUAAAUAAGUGCAAUGGAGUAAGAUUGGAAAUAACAUCUGUGGGCAAAAUCCCUGAAAGGAAUGGAAAUAACUCCAAAAACCUCUUGUGGUUUUUGGAUAAAUCCUCUAUCUUUAAAGCGUGGGAGGAAAUUGGCAUGUGCGUCCAUUUGUCUAUGCAGAUGUCUAUUUCUUUAUUCAUCAGAAACAAUUGCACACAUGGGCAACUAUUUUCUCUUGCAAAUAGUGGUUACUGUGCAUAUGGAUUCUAGAGGAGUUUUUCAAAAAUAUUCCCUUUAAUAAGACAAUCACUAGAACCUCCUACUUUGGUGUUGUUCUAACAGUUGUGAAAUAUUCUUUGAAUAUUAAUAGUUGUAGAUUACUUUAAAAAAAUUUAAAGAAGAUAGAAGAGGAAGUCCUUGAGUGAUGAACAUGAAGUAUCAGUUAAAAGGUUAAUUAUUUUACUAGCAUUAAUAUCUUUUAGAUUUAGUUGCCUAAAAGCAUAAACUUCUAGCCAUCUAGACUCCCUCAGAUCAACCAGACGUGUAAAUGCAUCAAUCCGUGGACUUUAGGGAUGAUGCUGUAAGACAAGGCAGUAAGACAUCUAGAGGGACAUUGCUUCCUUUUGGAGGUGUUUUUUUUCCCUCCAAAUAGCAAGAGAUCUCAGUAAUUCUACCUUUCUUUUUAGGAUGAGCCUGAAAUUAUUAAUUUUCUCUGCUAUAUUUACUGUUAGACAAUAUUUUUCUAUGAAUCAGCUUGUUUCUCUGUUUCUCUCAGUUUCUGUCAAAGCCUGAUCUUGCAGAAUAAGGCAAGUGAAAUGGGAAUGGAGGAAUCAUAAAGAGCACAGAUCUCAGUUUACUGGAUAUUCUCUUUCAUUCAUUGUCAUUGCAAUGUAAUGAGCUGAAUCUAUGAUUCCGUGACCAUCACGUGUUUUUGUUUUUGUUUGUUUGUUUUCUUUUUUGACACAAUCUUAGUUACUGGUUGUGGUCCUUUGGUUUAUUACCAUUGCAAAGUAGGCAGCUGAAUCAACGACAUAUGAAUCCCUGAUCAUGUUUUUUUGUUUGUUUGUUUGUUUUGCACAGAACUGAGUUAAUUGGAUGCGGUCAUUGGUUUAUUGUCAUUGCAAUGUAGGUACCAUAACCUAUGAUCUAUGAAUCCAUGAUCAUCUUGUUUUCUUUUUUUUGCAGAGAUCUCAGCUCAUUAGUUGUGGUCUUCGGUUUACUGUGAUUGCAAUGUAGGAAGUUGAAUCUGUGAUCAUCUUGGGUGGUUUUUUUUGUUUUGUUUUGUUUUUUGGCAAAGAUGUUAGAAUAUUGUUUGUAGUCUUUGGUUUAUUGUCACUGCAAUGUAGAAUGCUGAAUCCAUGAUAUACGAAUCCAUUAUCUUCAUGGGGGUUUUUUGCACAGAUCUUAGUUCAUCAGUUGCAUGCUUUGGUUUAUUAUCACUGUAAUGUAGGAAGCUUAAACUAUGAUCUAUGGAUCCAUGAUCAUCAUGGUUUUUCUUGCACAGAUCAUAAUUUAUUGGAUAUGGACUUUGGUUUAUUAUCAUUGCAGUGUAGAUAGCUGAAUCCAUGAUCAUCUUGUUUUUUGUUUUGUUUUGGGUGGUUUUUUAUUUUUAUUUUUAUUUUUUUUCAGAUAUCUUAAUUUAUUACUUGUGGUCUUUGGUUUAUUGUCAUUGUAAUGUUGGAUGCUGAAUCUGUGAUUUAUGAAUUCAUGAUCAUCUUCUUAUAUUUUUAGCCCAGAUCUUAGUUUAUUGGUUGUGGUUUUUGGUUUAUUGUCACUACAAUGUAGGAAACGAAAUCCAUGAUCUAUGAAUUCAUGAUCAUCGUGCUAUUUUUUUUAGCACAGGUCUUAGUUUGUUAGUUGUUGUCCUUGGUUUAUUAUCAUUGCAGUGUGGAUAGCUGAAUCUGUGAUCUAUGAAUUCAUCAUCAUCUUGGUGUUUUGUUUUUUUGUUGUUGUUGUUGUUUUUUUCUUCAGAGAUCUUAGUUUAUCAGUUGUGGUCUUUGGUUUAUUAUCACUGUAAUGUAGGAAUUUACUGUCAUUGCAAUGUAGGUAGCUGAAUCUAUGAUCUAUGGAUCCAUGAUCAUCUUGUUUUUUUUUUUUUGUUUUUUUUUUUUUUUGCACAUGUAUUAGUUCUUUGGUUGUGGCUUUUGGUUUAUUGUCACUGCAGUGUAGGAAGCUGAAUCCAUGAUCUAUGAAUUCAUGAUCAUUGUGCUAUUUUUCUAGCAAAGGCCUUUAUUAGUUGUGGUCUUUUGAUUAUUGUCAUUGUAAUGUAGGAUGCUGAGUCUACAAUCUAUGGAUACAUAAUCAUCUUGGGUUUUUUUAGCAGAGAUCUUAGUUUAUUAGUUCUGGUCUUUGGUUUAUUGUCAUUGCAAUGUAGAUAGCUGAAUCCAUGAUCAUCUUGUUAUUUUUUUUAGCACAGAUCUUAGUUUAUUUGUUGCAUUCUUUGGUUUAUUAUUGUUGCUAUGUAGGUAGCUGGAGUUAUGAUCUAUGAAUUUAUGAUCAUCUUGUUAUGUUUUUAGCACUGAUCUUAGUUUAUUGGUUGUGGUCUUUGGUUUAUUAUCAUUGUAAUGUAGGAGUUGAAUCUAUGAUCUGUGGAUCCAUGAUCAUCUUGGGUUUUUUUUAGCAGAGAUCUUAGUUAGUUGUGGUCUUUCGAUUAUUGUCAUUGCAAUGUAGGAAGCUGAGUCUACGAUCUAUGGAUCCAUAAUCAUCUUGGGUUUUUUUGCACAUAUCAUAAUUUACUGGAUAUGAUCUUUGGUUUAUUAUCAUUGCAAUGUAGGUAGCUGAAUCCAUGAUCUAUGAUCAUCUUGUUAUUUUCUUUGCAGAGAUCUUAGUUUAUUAGUUGUGAUCUUUGGUUUAUUGUCAAUGCAAUUUGGAGGUUGAAUCUAUGGAUCCAUGAUCAUCUAGAUAUUUUGUUUUCUUUUGUUUGUUUGUUUGUUUGUUUUGUCUGUUUUUUCACAGAUUUUACAUAAUUGGUUGUGGUUUUUGAUUUAAUGUCACUGUAGUGAAGGAAGCUGAAUCCAUAAUCUAUGAAUCCAUGCUCAUCUCGGGUUUUGUUGUGGAGAUGUUAGUAUACUGUUUGUGGUCUUUGGUUUAUUGUCACUGCAAUGUAGAAAGUUGAAUCUAUGGAUCCGUGAUCACCUAGGGUUAUUUUUAUCACAGAUGUUAGUUUCUUAGCUGUGGUCUUCAGGUUAUUAUUAUUGGUACGUAUGCAGCUGAAUCUAUGAUCUAUGAAUUUAUGAUCAUCUUGUUAUUCUUUUUAGCACAGAUCUUAGUUUAUUGGUCAUGGUCUUUGACUUAGUGUCAUUGUAAUGUAUGAUGCUGAAUCUAUGGAUCCAUGAUCAUCUUCAUUUUUCUUGCACAGGUUAUAAUUUAUUAGAUAUGGACUUUGCUUUAUUAUCAUUGCAAUAUAGAUAGUUGAAUCCAUGAUAAUCUUUUUUUUUUUUUUUUUUUUUUUCCAGAGAUCUUAGUUUAUUAGUUGUGAUCUUUGGUUUAUUGUCACUGCAAUGUAGAAAGGUGAAUUUUUUAUCUAUAGUUCCUAGAUCAUCUUGGUUUUCUUGCAGAGAUUUUAGUGUUUUGGUUGUGUUCUUUGAUUUAGUGUCAUUGCAAUGUAGAUCGCUGAAUUUAUGAUCUAUGAAUCAUAAUCAUCCAUGAGCAUCUUGGGUUUUUUUUAGCACAGAUCGUAGUGUAUUGGUUGUGGUCUUUGGGUUAUUGUAAUGUAGGUAGGUGAAUCCACUAUCUAUGAAUCCAUGAUCAUCUUGAGUUUUUUGUUUUUCUUGUUUUUUUUUUCCUUUUUUUGCACUGAUCUUAGUUCAUAGGCUGUGGUUUUUGAUUUACUGUCAUUGCAAUGUAGGUAGCUGAAUCCAUGAUCUAUGCAUCCACGAUCAUCUUGUUCUGUGUGGUUUUUUUUGUGCACAGAUGCUAGUUUAUUGUAUGUGGUCUUCAGUUCAUUUUCUUUGCCAGGGGGGAAGCUGAGUAUAUGAUCUAUGAAUCCAUGGGUCUGAGAGCAUGUGUGUGCCUGGAUUGAGUG